UACGGAGGGUGCAAGCGUUAUCCGGAUUUACUGGGUUUAAAGGGUGCGUAGGUGGGUAGGAAAGUCAGUGGUGAAAUCUUCGGGCUUAACCCGGAAACUGCCAUUGAUACUAUUUAUCUUGAAUACUUUGGAGGUAAGCGGAAUAUGUCAUGUAGCGGUGAAAUGCUUAGAUAUGGCAUAGAACACCAAUUGCGAAGGCAGCUUACUACACAGUUAUUGACACUGAGGCACGAAAGCGUGGGGAUCAAACAGG
rnacentral:rRNA from 1 species